rnacentral:rRNA from 1 species
GGAUCAUUGUCGAAAUCGAACGGAAGAACGACCCGCGAAUCGUCAUUGCUAGUAGACAGAGCCCGUGAGCACCUAACGCUCACGGGGCUCGCGUCGCGUCGGCGCGGGUGUACUCGAGACCCGCGUCGUACCGGCGGACAAACAACGUCAGCACGGAUCGUGCCAAGGAGCUGCAUGGAGAGAAUCGUCGUCCCACGCCUUUGAUAGUCCUCGACGCGGGGCGGGGGAUGUACGCAAUCUCUACUCAAGUCUAAACGACUCUCGGCAACGGAUAUCUCGGCUCUUGCAUCGAUGAAGAACGUAGCGAAAUGCGAUACUUGGUGUGAAUUGCAGAAUCCCGUGAACCAUCAAUUCUUUGAACGCAAGUUGCGCCCGAAGCCACUCGGCCGAGGGCACGCCUGCCUGGGUGUCGUGAAUCCCCUUGCCCCUGGGCACCCCGCAUGAGCAUUGGCGGGGAUAUACGCUCGGGCGCAGAAUAUGGUCUCCCGUGGGAUCGGCAUGCACGGCAUGUCGAGGUGCGGUUGGCCGAAAAUCGAGCAUGGCGGUGACGGGCACCACGGCGUUCGGUGGAUCGAAUGAGAUUGGCUGCGUCGUGGGCUCGGCAUGCGGCGGGCUCCGGACUUUGAAUAUCCCCGAGUGCGAUCCCAGGUCAGGCGGGGCUACCCGCUGAGUUUAAGCAUAUCAAUAAGCGGAGGAAAAGAAACUAACGAGGAUUCCCUUAGUAGCGGC